CCUUUGGAAAAAUAUGUGGCACCCCUUCAUACCUCAUAUAAGGGGUGCCACAUAUGGCAUAAACUCUCAUCCAAAGGGUGGUUUGGAUGUGGGAUUAGAUGAGGAAGAGGUAGAAAAAAUCUAAAGUGAAAAUAAAAAGAAAAAAGGGAGAGAAAAUAGAAAGGAGGAGAGGAAAAAAAAAGUAUGAGAUACUUGUCCUAAAAAUCAGAUUAUUCAAGUAUUGAACAUAAAAUUUGAUUUGUGUGUGGUG
rnacentral:lncRNA from 1 species